CCUACGGGAGGCUGCAGUAGGGAAUAUUGCACAAUGGAGGAAACUCUGAUGCAGCGACGCCGCGUGAGUGAUGAAGGCCUUCGGGUUGUAAAACUCUGUGAUAAGGGAAGCGGUACCUUAUCAGAAAGGACCGGCUAACUUCGUGCCAGCAGCCGCGGUAAUACGAGGGGUCCAAGCGUUGUUGGGAAUCACUGGGCGUAAAGCGGGUGUAGGUGGCUUUGCAAGUCACAUGUGAAAGCCCUGGGCUCAACCCAGGAAGUGCAUGUGAUACUACAAAGCUUGAGUACUGGAGAGGAUGGUAGAAUUCCUGGUGUAGUGGUGAAAUACGUAGAUAUCAGGAGGAACACCGGUGGCGAAGGCGGCCAUCUGGCCAAGACUGACACUCAGACCCGAAAGCGUGGGUAGCAAACAGGAUUAGAUACCCCUGUAGUC
rnacentral:rRNA from 1 species